GACGCAUCCGAGGGGUGUGUCCGUGACACUGAGAUGGCCGAUGGCCGAACCCUUGAACCUGAUCCGGGUUAUGCCGGCGUAGGAACGGAGUUUGGUCUUGAG
rnacentral:ncRNA from 2 species